rnacentral:rRNA from 1 species
CCUACGGGUGACAGCAGUGAGGAAUAUUGGUCAAUGGACGCAAGUCUGAACCAGCCAUGCCGCGUGCAGGAAGACGGCUCUAUGAGUUGUAACCUGCUUUUGUACGAGGGUAAACGCAGAUACGCGUAUCUGUCUGACAGUAUCGUACCAAUAAGGAUCGGCCAACUCCGUGCCAGCAGCCGCGGUAAUACGGAGGAUUCAAGCGUUAUCCGGAUUUAUUGGGUUUAAAGGGUGCGUAGGCGGUCGGAUAAGUUAGAGGUGAAAUCCCGAGGCUCAACUUCGGAAUUGCCUCUGAUACUGUUAGGCUAGAGAGUAGUUGCGGUAGGCGGAAUGUAUGGUGUAGCGGUGAAAUGCUUAGAGAUCAUACAGAACACCGAUUGCGAAGGCAGCUUACCAAGCUACUUCUGACGUUGAGGCACGAAAGCGUGGGGAGCAAACAGGAUUAGAUACCCUUGUAGUC